ensembl:lncRNA
GUUUCCCCAUCUAUUUCCCAUGAAGUGAUGGGACCGGAUGCCAUGACCUUCGUUUUCUGAAUGUUGAGCUUUAAGCCAACUUUUUCACUCUCCUCUUUCACUUUCAUCAAGAGGCUUUUUAGCUCCUCUUCACUUUCUGCCAUAAGGGUGGUGUCAUCUGCAUACCUGAGGUUAUUGAUAUUUCUCCCAGCAAUCUUGAUUCCAGCUUGUGCUUCCUCCAGCCCAGCGUUUCUCAUGAUGUACUCUGCAUAGAAGUUAAAUAAGCAGGGUGACAAUAUACAGCCUUGACGUACUCCUUUUCCUAUUUGGAACCCGUCUGUUGUUCCAUGUCCAGUUCUAACUGUUGCUUCCUGACUUGCACAUAGGUUUCUCAAGAGGCAGGUCAGGUGGUCUGGUAUUCCCAUCUCUUUCAGAAUUUUCCACAGUUUAUUG